UAAAAGUUUUAUUUUGGCUUAAA
rnacentral:rRNA from 1 species